UGGGGAAUAUUGGACAAUGGGCGGAAGCCUGAUCCAGCAAUACCGCGUGUGUGAAGAAGGCCUUCGGGUUGUAAAGCACUUUAAGACAGGAAGAAGUUGCGUUUGCUAAUACCAUACGUAAUUGACAUUACUGUCAGAAUAAGCACCGGCUAACUCUGUGCCAGCAGCCGCGGUAAUACAGAGGGUGCAAGCGUUAAUCGGAUUUACUGGGCGUAAAGGGUGCGUAGGUGGCAACCUAAGUCAGACGUGAAAGCCUGGGGCUUAACCUCAGAACUGCGUUUGAAACUAAGUAGCUAGAGUGUUGUAGAGGGGGGUGGAAUUUCCAGUGUAGCGGUGAAAUGCGUAGAUAUUGGAAGGAACAUCAGUGGCGAAGGCGACUCCCUGGACAAACACUGACACUGAGGCACGAAAGCGUGGGGAGCAAACAGG
rnacentral:rRNA from 1 species